rnacentral:rRNA from 1 species
GGCAAUGCCAAUAUUCCAUUAAGAUCUGNUGUUGCCCCUCAUCAUCUGGAGGCAACCUUUAAAAAGCUGAGCAUAGUCAAACCUGCUUCGUAUCUGGAUGGGACACCUCUAGGAAAUCCCAGGGCUAUAGCCU